UGUGGCUGCAGGGCUAUCCUUUAGCAGAUUGCCUCUUGGGUAAUGAGGCAGUUAUGUUCCUGACGGUAAUGGAAAGACUGUCAUCACAGAGACAGCAGGACAUGACUGCGGGCACGACACAAUCGAGCGACCCGGAGAGGCGGCACGCACGGAGCCGGCGAGCGGUCCUGACAACACGACCGUCCGAACAAAGAUCAGCGGGCUUAGGGAGAAGGCGCGGGGGCUUUGGCGGGUGAUGUCGACAUGAUUUCAUCUGGAGCAAAGUCAGGGGGCAGAAAAAUAAACAGCGUGUGAGUGACAGAGCGCUGCAGAGGCACAGGACAGGAGGGAGGAAAUGCAGUGCGUCUACUUCACACCUCUUCCAGCUGGCAGGGAUCAUUGCUGACAACUGACGGUACACACCAUCCUAUAUUACAGACACCAUGCCUUUCACAUAUGAGGAACGCAGCAGAAGAUUGUCCGGUUCAGACGAGAUCACAAGGCCUAGUGUUGCCAAAAGGAACAAUAAUUUCCCCCUCUGUACAAUGUACAAUAAAUGAUGCAAAAAUU